CCAUAGUCCCAUUGUAACGGCAUCCUUUUGUGUAGCGAAGUAAAACAAAAGAAAAGACAUAGUGAAAAGAGGGAAAUUGC
rnacentral:misc_RNA from 1 species